rnacentral:rRNA from 1 species
UACAGAGGUCUCAAGCGUUGUUCGGAUUCAUUGGGCGUAAAGGGUGCGUAGGCGGCGCGGUAAGUCGGGUGUGAAAUCUUGGAGCUUAACUCCGAAACUGCAUUCGAUACUGCCGUGCUUGAGGACUGGAGAGGAGACUGGAAUUUACGGUGUAGCGGUGAAAUGCGUAGAUGUCGUAAGGAAGACCAGUGGCGAAGGCGGGUCUCUGGACAGUUCCUGACGCUGAGGCACGAAGGCCAGGGGAGCAAACGGG